rnacentral:rRNA from 1 species
UCAAGUUAUUAAGGGUGCAGGGCGGAUGCCUUGGCACUAGGAGCCGAUGAAGGACGUGAUAAGCUGCGAUAAGCUUCGGGGAGUUGCACGUAAACUUUGAUCCGAAGAUUUCCGAAUGAGGAAACUCACUUAGAGUAAUGUCUAAGUAUCAUUAAGUGAAUACAUAGCUUAAUGAGGGGAACUCAGGGAACUGAAACAUCUAAGUACCUGAAGGAAGAGAAAGAAAUUCGAUUCCGUAAGUAGCGGCGAGCGAACGCGGAUUAGCCCAAACCAAUAAAGUUUUCUUUAUUGGGGUUGCGGACAUAUCAUAACGAAGAGGUAUCGUAAUUGAAGAGGUUUGGAAAGACCCACCACAGAAGGUAAUAGUCCUGUAUGUUAAACGAGAAGACUUUAGAUAUGAUCCAGAGUACCACGGGACACGUGAAACCCUGUGGGAAGCAGGAGGGACCACCCUCCAAGGCUAAAUACUACCUAGUGACCGAUAGCGUAUAGUACCGUGAGGGAAAGGUGAAAAGAACCCCGGGAGGGGAGUGAAAUAGAACCUGAAACCCUGCACUUACAAGCUGUGGAAGCACAUUUCUUGUGUGACCGCGUACUUUUUGUAGAACGGGCCAACGAGUUACGUUAAGUAGCAAGGUUAAGCACUUAAGGUGCGGAGCCGUAGCGAAAGCGAGUUUUAACUGAGCGUUCAGUUACUUGACGUAGACCCGAAACCGGGCGACCUACCCAUGAGCAGGAUGAAGCGAAAGUAAAAUUUCGUGGAGGUCCGAACCCACGAGCGUUGAAAAGCUCGGGGAUGACUUGUGGGUAGCGGUGAAAUUCCAAUCGAGCCCGGAGAUAGCUGGUUCUCCCCGAAAUAGCUUUAGGGCUAGCCUCAAGGUGAGAGAUACGGAGGUAGAGCACUGAAUGUCCUAGGGGGUAUUGCACCUACCGAAGACUAUCAAACUCCGAAUGCCGUCAUCUUAUACUUGGGAGUCAGACUGUGGGUGAUAAGAUUCAUAGUCGAAAGGGCAACAGCCCAGAUCGUCAGCUAAGGUCCCUAAAUGUAAGUUAAGUGGUAAAGGAUGUGGGAUUGCACAGACAACCAGGAUGUUGGCUUAGAAGCAGCCACUCAUUCAAAGAGUGCGUAAUAGCUCACUGGUCGAGUGAUCCUGCGCCGAAGAUUUCCGGGGCUAAAACUUACUACCGAAGCUACGGCAUCAGUAAUGAUGGGUAGGGGAGCUUCCCAUACGGGUUGAAGCAUGACCGUAAGGACAUGUGGACAGUAUGGGAGUGAGAAUGUUGGCAUGAGUAGCGAGAUGUGGGUGAGAAUCCCACAGGCCGUAAACCCAAGGUUUCCAGGGGAAGGUUCGUCCGCCCUGGGUUAGUCGGGACCUAAGCUGAGGCCGAAAGGCGUAGGUGAUGGACAACAGGUUGAUAUUCCUGUACUACCGAUAACCGUUUGAGAGAAGGGAUGACACAGUAGGAUAAGCUAAGCACACUGUUGGUUAUGUGUGCCCAAGCAUUGAGGCAGUCAAAGUAGGCAAAUCCGCUUUGAUAAUGCUGGGAUGUGAUGGGGAGCGAAAUUUAGUAGCGAAGUAGCUGAUUUCACACUGUCAAGAAAAGUCUCUAUCGAGGUUAAAGGUACCCGUACCGCAAACCGACACAGGUGGGUGAGGAGAGUAUCCUAAGGCCAGCGAGAGAACUGUUGUUAAGGAACUCGGCAAAAUGACCCCGUAACUUAGGGAUAAGGGGUGCCACCAUCAGGUGGCCGCAGAGAAUAGGCCCAAGCGACUGUUUACCAAAAACAUAGGUUUCUGCUAAGUCGCAAGACGAUGUAUAGGAGCUGACGCCUGCCCGGUGCUGGAAGGUUAAGGGGAUCUGUUAGAGCAAUCGAAGCAGUGAACUUAAGCCCCAGUAAACGGCGGCCGUAACUAUAACGGUCCUAAGGUAGCGAAAUUCCUUGUCGGGUAAGUUCCGACCCGCACGAAAGGCGUAACGAUUUGGGCACUGUCUCAACAACAGACUCGGUGAAAUUGUAAUUCCGGUGAAGAUGCCGGAUACCUGCGACAGGACGGAAAGACCCCAUGGAGCUUUACUGUAGCUUGACAUUGGGUCUUGGUACUACAUGUACAGGAUAGGUGGGAGGCUUUGAAACCAGGACGCCAGUUUUGGCGGAGCCAUCCUUGGGAUACCACCCUUGUAGUACUGGGACUCUAACCAUAGGCCAUGAAUCUGGUCUUGGGACACUGUCAGGUGGGCAGUUUGACUGGGGCGGUCGCCUCCCAAAAGGUAACGGAGGCGCUCAAAGGUUCUCUCAGUACGGUCGGAAAUCGUACGUAGAGUGUAAAGGCAAAAGAGAGCUUGAUUGCAAGACAUACAGGUCGAGCAAGGAUGAAAAUCGGACUUAGUGAUCCGGUGGUUCUGCGUGGAAGGGCCAUCGCUCAACGGAUAAAAGCUACCCUGGGGAUAACAGGCUUAUCUCCCCCAAGAGUCCACAUCGACGGGGAGGUUUGGCACCUCGAUGUCGGCUCAUCACAUCCUGGGGCUGUAGUAGGUCCCAAGGGUUGGGCUGUUCGCCCAUUAAAGUGGUACGCGAGCUGGGUUCAGAACGUCGUGAGACAGUUCGGUCCCUAUCCGUCGCAGGCGUAGGAAAUUUGAGAAGACCUGUCCUUAGUACGAGAGGACCGGGAUGGACGUACCUCUGGUGUACCAGUUGUCCUGCCAAGGGCAUGGCUGGGGUAGCUAUGUACGGAAUGGAUAAGCGCUGAAAGCAUCUAAGCGCGAAGCCAACUUCAAGAUAAGAUUUCCCACCGCAAGGGUAAGACCCCAGAAAGACUAUCUGGUUGAUAGGUCGAAGGUGUAAGUGCAGCAAUGUAUUUAGCUUAUCGAUACUAAUAGGUCGAGGACUUGACCAA